rnacentral:sRNA from 1 species
GCCGCGUCUAGCCCAACGGGGCGAAAACCGGGUCCCCUUGCCCGGCUAGUGUAGCUGCCUAAUGCAAGGG